rnacentral:rRNA from 1 species
CUCAUAAGUUUGACGAUAAGAGGUACCUUAUAAAAAAAUAAGGUGGCACAGAAUCGGAGGCCCCGACUGUUUACUAAAAACACAACACAGUGCAAUCAUAAAUAUGGUAGUAUACUGUGUGAAAUUUGCCCGAUGCCAUUAAUAUAAGAAAAGUUAUGGAUUUGUUUAUUAUAACAAUACUGUGACCUAUCGAAAAUCUGGUUAAUAGCGGUCUUAACUAUGAGGAUCCUAAGGUAGCAAAAUCAAUUGGCCAUUAAAUGUGGUCCGGUAUCAAUAAUGUAACGAUGGUCUCACUGUCUCUACAACUUGCUCAGUGAAAUUGAAUUACGCGUGCAGAUGCGCGUUGCCUCCAGGGGGACGGGAAGACCCUAUGCAG